rnacentral:rRNA from 1 species
CCUACGGGCGGCAGCAGUGGGGAAUAUUGCGCAAUGGGGGCAACCCUGACGCAGCAACGCCGCGUGAUUGAAGAAGGCCUUCGGGUUGUAAAGAUCUUUAAUCGGGGACGAAUUUUGACGGUACCCGAAGAAUAAGCUCCGGCUAACUACGUGCCAGCAGCCGCGGUAAUACGUAGGGAGCAAGCGUUAUCCGGAUUUACUGGGGGUAAAGGGCGUGUAGGCGGGCAUGCAAGCCAGAAGUGAAAUCUGGGGGCUUAACCCCCCAACUUUUUUUGGACCUGCGUGUCUUGAGUGAUGGAGAGGCAGUCGAAAUUCCCGGGGUAGGGGUGAAAGGCGUAGAUCUUGGGAGGAACACGAGUGGCGAAGGGGGCC